UGAAUUCAUUAUCGUAAACCCGAAACCCGGUAUUUUGCGCGAGUUAAUAUUAGACAGAUAAAUUGUAAAUAACGCAGUAAUAUAUGCAAUAUGUGUCCGGGUCGUAGUUUCAUGUCCCGAGAGGGUUCAUAAUACAUACGUACAGGGUGCCAGAACAUAGAGUUAUCUCUGUUUCUGCGGACACAUUGAAUAAGGAACACGGA